UACGAAGGGGGCUAGCGUUGCUCGGAAUUACUGGGCGUAAAGGGCUCGUAGGCGGCCAACUAAGUCGGACGUGAAAUCCCUCAGCUUAACUGGGGAACUGCGUCCGAUACUGGAUGGCUUGGAUUUGGGAGAGGGAUGCGGAAUUCCAGGUGUAGCGGUGAAAUGCGUAGAUAUCUGGAGGAACACCGGUGGCGAAGGCGGCAUCCUGGACCAACAUUGACGCUGAGGAGCGAAAGCUAGGGGAGCAAACGGG
rnacentral:rRNA from 1 species